rnacentral:misc_RNA from 1 species
GCAAACUUGGUCAUUUAGAGGAAGUAAAAGUCGUAACAAGGUCUCCGUUGGUGAACCAGCGGAGGGAUCAUUACAGGACUCGCAAGACUCCCGUAACCAUCGUGAACCUACCUGCAGUCGUUGCCUCGGCGGGUGCCUAGUCCCUAGGCGCUCAAGCCCGCCGGCGGCCUGUUAACUCUGUCUCGUUGCGUUGGCAUCUCCGAGCAAAAGACAAACGAAUCAAAACUUUCAACAACGGAUCUCUUGGUUCUGGCAUCGAUGAAGAACGCAGC